rnacentral:misc_RNA from 1 species
AAGUCGUAACAAGGUCUCCGUUGGUGAACCAGCGGAGGGAUCAUUAUAGAGUUUUCUAAACUCCCAAACCCAUGUGAACUUACCAUUGUUGCCUCGGCAGAGCCUACCCGGUACCUACCCUGGAACCAGCUACCCUGUAGCUACCCAGGAACGGGCUACCCUGUAACGUCCUGCCGGUGGACUUCUAAACUCUUGUCAUUUACAGUAAUCUGAGCGUCUUAUUUUAAUAAGUCAAAACUUUCAACAACGGAUCUCUUGGUUCUG